rnacentral:lncRNA from 1 species
CUAGCUAUUUUAUUAGUUAUCGAAAUCUCAACCGCUAACAAUUAUUGGCUUCGUUUGGAAUCGCGAAGAGAUUGUAUUACGUGCGGUGAUAAACGACGAUGAAAAAAUAUCUUAUUUGUUUUCAUACAUAAUAUUGUGUUCCGCAUAUUGCGGUUAGUCGGUUACAAUAUAUUUUCUGCGGUUUCAUCGGAGAACGCAGAAACGUAUCCUGUAUACUUUUUCUCAACUCCACCAAACUAAGCCAUAGU